CAUGAAGUCUAUCUUCUAUUUACCAGACGAAAUUCUCAAGUAAUGAACACUUCACUGGAAUGAAAGAAUAGUCUAAGACUUUAUCUAUGGCAAUAUGACAAUUACUUUGUGAAAAAGAACCAUGACAACAUGGAGAAUAAUGCAUUAUGUUGGACAACUGAUGAAGACUAAAUAUCUUAUGAUGAGAACAGUACCUUUAUAAUCAAUGGCAAAUCCUGACAUUCCAACAGAAGCAUCACUGCGAAAAGCCAGAAACAGAC